rnacentral:rRNA from 1 species
GUUGGGCCUGCUCGGUGAGAAGAAAAAUUUAACAGCUGCGGUAUUAUAACUGUACUAAGGUAGCAUAAUAAUUUGCCUUAUAAAUUAAGGCUAGAAUGAAUGGUUUGACGAAAAUUAGACUGUCUUUAUUUUAUUUGUUAGAAAUUAAUUUUUAUAGUGAAAAAGCUUGAAUAAUUUAAGGGGACGAGAAGACCCUAUUGAGCUUUAUUUAUUAAUAUUUAAAUAUAAAUAUAUAAUUUAUAUUAUGAAAAUUAUGUUGUGUAUAUAUAUAUAUUUAAUUGGAUUUAAUUUUGAUUGGGGUGAUCAAGGAAUAAAGAUAAAGUAACUUCCUUAAAAUUAAUGAUUGUUUUUAUAGAGUAAUAAACCAAGUUUUUUGCUUAUAAGAUAAGUUACCAUAGGGGUAACAGCGUAAUUUUUUUUGAGAGUUCAUAUUGAAAAAAGAGAUUGCGACCUCGAUGUUGGAUUAAAAAUUACCUUAAGG